AGAGAGAGUAAACAGUACGUGAAACCGCGCAAAGGUAAACGGGAAGAGUUGAACUGCAAGCCUGUAAGAUUCAGCUGGUACGGUURGUUGGCUAGCUUUGUGGUCCAUAAAAAUAAUGGAUUGCCUCUCCUUGUGGGGGGUGACGGGUGUGUGCUUAAUAUGUGCAACUCGCUGCAUUGUUGGUGCUGCUGGGCCAGUGCACUUCUUUCAGGUCUUCAUCACGACCGGCGCUGCUGUCUGUCUGCUGUUGUCAAACCAGUCGAGCUCGGUCCUUGUGGCCUUGUUUUGCUGGGAUGGCAGGUAGCUUGUUGGCCUCUCGGGGCUUUCGAGUGUAAUAGCCGACUUCAGUGUGAGCUGUGCAGUGUGUCGGAGAUUGCGGUUGUGACGGGUGGCGUGAAUGCUGGCUUUAGUUGGCUUUGGGUUGUUCGCUUCGGUGGCUUCCUGGGGUUGGCUUCGGUUGGUUCUUUGCGUUGCUUUUAAUGGCCGAUAGUCUGUGAUG
rnacentral:rRNA from 1 species